rnacentral:rRNA from 1 species
UACGAAGGGUGCAAGCGUUAAUCGGAAUUACUGGGCGUAAAGGGUGCGUAGGCGGUUGUUUAAGUCUGUCGUGAAAUCCCCGGGCUCAACCUGGGAAUUGCAAUGGAUACUGGCAGGCUGGAGUAUGGUAGAGGAAGGUGGAAUUCCCGGUGUAGCAGUGAAAUGCGUAGAGAUCGGGAGGAACACCAGUGGCGAAGGCGGCCUUCUGGACCAAUACUGACGCUCAUGCACGAAAGCGUGGGGAGCAAACAGG